GGUACCGUCAAUCGCCCACGAUAUUCCCGUGAACGGGUUUCUUCCCCCCUGACAGCGGUUUACACCCCGAAGGGCUUCCUCCCGCACGCGGCGUCGCUGCGUCAGCCUUUCGGCCAUUGCGCAAUAUUCCCCA
rnacentral:rRNA from 1 species